rnacentral:rRNA from 1 species
AUAGGCUACAGGUGUACGCACAGUAAUGUGUUUAGCCGAGUAGUACUAAUAAGUCGAUUGGCUUAAUCAUUUUUUAUUAUUGUUGGGU